rnacentral:rRNA from 11 species
UGGUAGAGAAUACCAAGGCGCUUGAGAGAACUAUGUUGAAGGAACUCGGCAAAAUACCUCCGUAAGUUCGCGAGAAGGAGGCCCGGUUCCUAGGCAACUAGGGGCUGGGGGCACAAACCAGGGGGUGGCGACUGUUUAUUAAAAACACAGGGCUCUGCGAAGUCGUAAGACGACGUAUAGGGUCUGACGCCUGCCCGGUGCCUGAAGGUUAAAAGGAGGGGUGAGAGCUCUGAAUUGAAGCCCAGGUAAACGGCG